AUGACCUUCAUCAUCAUCUUCAUCUGGACUCUCACAGCGUUUGCUCAAGAGUGUAGAGGACAGAUCACCGUCACUCAGAGUCCCUCAAUGACAGCAGCUCAACCAGGACAAACUGUGAACAUCAACUGUAAAACCAGCACAGAUGUGUAUUAUCAAAGUUCUUAUGGACAUUAUUUAGCUUGGUACUUACAGAAACCUGGAGAAGCUCCUAAACUCCUGAUUUAUUUGACCAAAAGCCUCCAGUCAGGAACUCCAUCUAGAUUCAGUGGCAGUGGAUCUAACAGUGAUUUCACUCUGACCAUCAGUGGAGUCCAGACUGAAGAUGCUGGACAUUAUUACUGUCAGAGUUAUCACUGGAUCAACAGUAAAGAUGUGUUCACACAGUGAUAAAGAGUCGUACAAAAACCUCCGUCAGUCAGAGUCACAGUGACUGAACUGAUACUGCAGCUGCUCAAAGGAGGAUCUGAAACAACAUCGUCACACAAACAUCUGAAAUAAAAUCAUCAAAAUUAAUCUUUUUAUAAAUUAUUGAGGUCAGAAAU